AUUGAACGCUGGCGGCAGGCCUAACACAUGCAAGUCGAGCGGAUGAAGGGAGCUUGCUCCUGGAUUCAGCGGCGGACGGGUGAGUAAUGCCUAGGAAUCUGCCUGGUAGUGGGGGAUAACGUCCGGAAACGGGCGCUAAUACCGCAUACGUCCUGAGGGAGAAAGUGGGGGAUCUUCGGACCCCACGCUAUCAGAUGAGCCUAGGUCGGAUUAGCUAGUUGGUGGGGUAAAGGCCUACCAAGGCGACGAUCCGUAACUGGUCUGAGAGGAUGAUCAGUUACACUGGAACUGAGACACGUCCCAGACUCCUACGGGAGGCAGCAGUGGGGAAUAUUGGACAAUGGGCGAAAGCCUGAUCCAGCCAUGCCGCGUGUGUGAAGAAGGUCUUCGGAUUGUAAAGCACUUUAAGUUGGGAGGAAGGGCAGUAAGUUAAUACCUUGCUGUUUUGACGUUACCAACAGAAUAAGCACCGGCUAACUUCGUG
rnacentral:rRNA from 1 species